UGGGANCCUAGAAACUGUCACCAUGCAGGGC
rnacentral:piRNA from 1 species